GACGAACGCUGGCGGCGUGCUUAACACAUGCAAGUCGAACGGAAAGGCCCUGCUUGCAGGGUACUCGAGUGGCGAACGGGUGAGUAACACGUGGGUGGUCUGCCCUGCACUUCGGCAUAAGCCUGGGAAACUGGGUCUAAUACCGGAUAGGAGCCAUCUUUAGUGUGAUGGUUGGAAAGUUUUUUCGGUGUAGGAUGAGCUCGCGGCCUAUCAGCUUGUUGGUGGGGUAAUGGCCUACCGAGGCGGCGACGGGUAGCCGGCCUGAGAGGGUGGACGGCCACAUUGGGACUGAGAUGCGGCCCAGACUCCGACGGGAGGCAGCAGUGGGGAAUAUUGCACAAUGGGCGCAAGCCUGAUGCAGCGAGGCCGCGUGGGGGAUGACGGCCUUCGGGUUGUAAACUCCUUUCGCUAGGGACGAAGCUUUUUGUGACGGUACCUAGAUAAGAAGCCCCGGCUAACUACGUG
rnacentral:rRNA from 1 species